UGUUUUUCUAGAAAAUAGCUGAAGACGCUUCCAUGGAAUUCAUUCAAAUUUCUAAAAUUGCGAAAGCCAUUCAAACGAUCAUUUGUCGGAGAUGUUUUUCUUCUUUGCGAUCACCAAUUUAAUUGUGUUGUAU
rnacentral:sRNA from 1 species